ACGGAUCCAGAGAAUCUAGAAUGUUGGUUACAGAGCAUGAAUCUGGGGUCAGCUUUCUUUCCUUCGAAGUAUUUAAUGUUAUGUUCGGAUCAUUUUGAAAAAUAAUAUUUCCAAAAAGAAAUUAAUUUUGCUUGCCUACGCCUGGGAAGCGUUCCUACGUUAUUUGGAUAUUAUAAAUCCGCUUGUGUAUUUUGUAAGGCCGUGAAAGGACAGGCUAAAGAAAGAUCGUUUCGCAAAUUCCCGUUACAUAAUGCAGAAUUGCUUGAAAAAUGGGUUGCGCCAAUGGGUUUAGAAAAAUUUAUUUCGAGUACCAAGAGUUUACUUUGUAGUGAUCACUUCGAAGAGAAGUGUAUUUGUAAAAAAGGUCGCAAUCCAUCGAAUUUAACUCUUAGAAAUAAUGCUAUUCCCAUCAUAUUCAUGCCCGCAACAAUUGAAGAAACGUCUGCAGAAAACCGGAACACAUUUGAUGACAUGAGAGGGAAAGUUUAAAGUUUCUUGUAAUUAAUUAAAGACUUCUAAAUCAUU